rnacentral:rRNA from 2 species
CACGCGUACCCAUACCGAACACGACCGUUAAGCCUUCCAGCGCCGAUGGUACUUGGACCGCAGGGUCCCGGGAGAGUAGGACGUCGCCAAGC